UCUUUUCUUUUGAUAGGAGAGUUUUUAAAACCAGUGUUAUUUUUGUAAGUUUAAGAGAAGUUUGUGUAUUGAAUUUUUUAUUUUUAAUAUUAAAGAGCUUUGUUAAACUUAGACUUAAGUUUAGGUCAUUUUGGGGGUUUAGCUCAGUUGGCUAGAGCAUCGGCUUUGCAAGCCGAGGGUCAAGGGUUCGAGUCCCUUAACCUCCAUUGGGCUUAUGUCCUAAAUCGUAAUUAAGUAUGUUUUUAAGUAACUUUGUUAAAGUAAUUGUUGGAAUGUGAAACAGAGGAAGUUAAAAUUUCUGGGUUAAGUUGAGAUCUGUUGAUAUUAAGAAGAAUCUCUAGAAGCAAAAGCAAGCUUUCGAUAAAACCCGAAGUUGUUUCGCUAAAGUGCAAGGAUUAAACAGGAUUGUAUUUUCCAGUAGCCUAUUUUAUAAACGAUCUGCAUUUAGUAAAUAGUUUUUAGUUAAGAAAUAAUGCAGAUUGCUAAGUGUGAUGCC
rnacentral:misc_RNA from 1 species